ACAUCCACACGAUUGCCUGACCUCUCCUUCCGCAUGCUGCAAGCCCGCAAACUUCUCAGCACCCUUGCGCAACAUGCGACUCUUCGGCCUCCAUCUCGCAUCUCGCAUCUCGUAAAAAAAUAUCCUCGAGCUCCACGCCAUUUAGUCCUUCCGCAGGACGUUGCCUUCCACGAACGCCGCCUUGCACACGACGAUCAAGGGCUCAGGCUGACGGCGAGUGUGGAGGCCUCCAGACAACGGCGGCUCGACGGCGCCGGCCAAGGCCUCCGGGCAACUGCACCGCCCAAAGGGCUCCAGCGGCCGGGCAACUGCGCCGGCCAAAGGGCUCCAGCAGCCGGCGCCGGCGCCGGCCAAGAUCUCCAUCCGGUGCACGCAGACCCAGGCUCAACAUCCGGUGGCUUUGCGGCAGGGGCGUGCGGACAAGCGGCCAUCAAUGGGUUGCGUGCAGAGCGACUGAACAGACAUCGGUGUGUCGUGCACCGUGCGGCCCUGCAGCGAGGCGUGCUGCCAAGCCCACAGCAACAACGACGCAGAAAGCCAGGGAAAUUGUACUGUAAUUUAUGUUAUCUACCAUGGAGAAGAGACGAGAAACCCACACUGCAUUUAGCAACAUAUCAAACAUCAUCGGACCAAGUGUAGAUAAUGAAUUGAGAAAGAGGGAAGAGAGCAAUAAGAAAUAACGGGAAUACCGAGCAUGGAAAAGGGCCGAAGAAAGUAAUGAACAAAGAGAGGAGCGAAAUAGAAAGCAACGUGAAUACCGUGCAAAGAAAAAAAGCUUUGGCAGGGUAACGACGUCUGGACAUGCAGCAAAUCAUGUACGGUCAGAUUCCGGGUGCACAGAUGUUGACAUGACAGAUGUGGUAGGAAGACAGUCACCAGAGGAGAGUGAUGUUUCAGCCAUCUACAAAGGAUCGAAACAUCAUGGUAAAGAAAAUGAUGAUCCAAAUGAGUCCAGCCACUGGCUACAUAGGAACGAUGACUAUAUGAGGCAAAAACGGCCGCCAUUCAGGUUGUGCCAGACUGAAAGUUCAAACGGCAUCAUAAUAAAUUCAGGUGGUUAUUCGAACACUGCUAGACAGCUGACAAAACAAAACUGGUACCUGAAUAUGGAUGCGCCGAGCAAGGAGAAAUUGCUGCAGGAGAGGCGGGAAUAUAAGAAGGCAAAAGCAGAAGAAAACAAACAACAAUCCCGCCCUGCCAUUGCCCAAGAAAAAAAUAUUAUACCUAACAAUGACGUCGAGUUUGAUAGUGAUUUAUUCAAGCCAGGAGACCCUGAUUCAGAUGAUGAAGAUCAUCUAUGUGACCUAGAGGGAGAGGACGGAUGGGACAUAGGAGACACUCUCAGAGAUGUUGAGUCCAUACAGAUGCAUGGUGAACGUAAUUCUUUGUUAUUACCAUUUGUAAACAUGUAGAGUGAUUGCCACGUUCACCUAUAAUUCUAUAUAUAUAUAUAUAUAUAUAUAUAUAUAUAUAUAUAUAUAUAUAUAUAUAUAUAUAUAUAUAUAUAUAUAUAUAUAUAUGAACAGAAUGUGUGUUCGAGUCAUACCGUAUCAAUUAUGAGAGCAUGGGCCAUGAAGCCGCUGAUGAUCCUUAUGACUUCGUCUACCAUAACUAUAAAAUAUUUAUUCAGGUAUAACGCUCCUGCUGCCUCACAAGUUGCUGCUAUCUGGACCCAUGGAAAUGAUCCCCAAAAAUGUUUUGAUAGGAGUGUUAUAGUAUACCCCAAAGGAGAAAAGAUGCGCUAUAUCAAAGCAUAUCAUUGUUUUUAUGAUCCAUUAGCAUAUCCUAUAUUUAAUCUUAGAGGAGAGACUGGAUGAAACCAAUUCAUGUCGUACAAUGAUAGUCCCACAAAUUCGUCAUCUCCUAACAAUGAGGAGCAUUUAGUACCAGAACCUGAAGAGAAUGGUGAAUGAGACAACGACAUACAACAAGCACGCUAACAGUUGGUUGCAAGAUUCUAAUUUGUAAGAGAGUGACCAUCAUAUUACAAGUUUGGAGAUGAAGUGAGGAGCAGAGGGAUGAAAGCACAUGCUUAAAAGGUUACAAACCACUAAAUAUUACCUUGUAUCUUAUAAUAACAAUCAUGAAAUUAUGCCAAUGUUUUGGGAUGGUAUGCCCAUGUUACUUCCCUGUAAAUAAUAGUUUAUUAGGUGAAAUGUGGAUAUACAAAAUAUGGGAAGCUGUUCGUGCAAAA